CCCUAGUGGCACUUUUUCUCCCUUGGACGUCCAUGGCACGUCUGUACAUCCCAGCCAUAUCUACAUCCAAAUUGAAAAUUUCUGAUGGAGACAAGACAGCCAUAGGAUGUCUAGCAAUGAUAGCCUAAAGAUGUCCUUUUUUUGUCCUUGUUACCUCCAGGAGACAUCCGUUAGGUCAUCGUUUUUAUCAUAAUUUUUUAAUUAUUAUUUUAUUUUAUUUUAUUUUUUUAUUUAUUUUUAUUUUAUUUUUUUUCCCUCAUCACCGAACAUCAUUAUCAACGCCCAGCGUGUCACAGCGAGUCUCGUUAACACACAGAGUCUAUGGUCUAGUGGUUAGAGUACUCGACUGGUAAUCUUAAGGACGAUGGUUCAAACCCAGAGUCAGUCAAAAGUAUUUCAUCAAAAAUAAAAUAAAAUACGUAUGAUGAAAGACUAUGGUGAUGAUGACAUCCUAUGGAUG